rnacentral:rRNA from 1 species
GGAAGCCGGCAACGGCAUCCUGUCGCUGAGAACUUGAUCAAACUUGGUCAUUUAGAGGAAGUAAAAGUCGUAACAAGGUUUCCGUAGGUGAACCUGCGGAAGGAUCAUUAUCGAGUUUUGACUGGGUUGUAGCUGGCCUUCCGAGGCAUGUGCACGCCCUGCUCAUCCACUCUACACCUGUGCACUUACUGUGGGUUUUACGGGUCGUGAAAUGGGCUCGUUCAUUCGGGCUUGUUGAGCGCACUUGUUGCCUGCGUUUAUCACAAACUCCAUAAAGUAUUAGAAUGUGUAUUGCGAUGUAACGCAUCUAUAUACAACUUUCAGCAACGGAUCUCUUGGCUCUCGCAUCGAUGAAGAACGCAGCGAAAUGCGAUAAGUAAUGUGAAUUGCAGAAUUCAGUGAAUCAUCGAAUCUUUGAACGCACCUUGCGCUCCUUGGUAUUCCGAGGAGCAUGCCUGUUUGAGUGUCAUGAAAUCUUCAAUCUACAAGCUUCUUAUGGGAGUUUGUAGGCUUGGACUUGGAGGCUUGUCGGUCCUUUACAGGUCGGCUCCUCUCAAAUGCAUUAGCUUGGUUCCUUGCGGAUCGGCUUGUCGGUGUGAUAAUGUCUACGCCGCGACCGUGAAGCGUGUUUGGGCGAGCUUCUAACCGUCUCGUUAACGAAACCACUUUAAUAACUCCUAACUUCAAUUCAGGUAGAAUACCCCCUUAACUUAAGCAUAUCAUUAG